AGCGAACGCUGGCGGCAGGCCUAACACAUGCAAGUCGAACGAACUCUUCGGAGUUAGUGGCGGACGGGUGAGUAACACGUGGGAACGUGCCUUUUGGUUCGGAAUAACUCAGGGAAACUUGUGCUAAUACCGAAUGUGCCCUUCGGGGGAAAGAUUUAUCGCCAUUAGAGCGGCCCGCGUCUGAUUAGCUAGUUGGUGAGGUAACGGCUCACCAAGGCGACGAUCAGUAGCUGGUCUGAGAGGAUGACCAGCCACACUGGGACUGAGACACGGCCCAGACUCCUACGGGAGGCAGCAGUGGGGAAUCUUGCGCAAUGGGCGAAAGCCUGACGCAGCCAUGCCGCGUGAAUGAUGAAGGUCUUAGGAUUGUAAAAUUCUUUCACCGGGGACGAUAAUGACGGUACCCGGAGAAGAGGCCCCGGCUAACUUCGUG
rnacentral:rRNA from 1 species